AUGGAGCCUAUUAAGGGUGAACUAGUGCAAGGACUCGAUGAUAACUGUUUAUUGGACGUUAUCGCCUGCAAGAGAGGAAAGUGAAAGCUCAACUCACUGUAAACCAUCGCUCAAGUGCGCAGCUCUAUUGACCUAAAGUGAGCUAUGCGAAUUAUAAAAAUUGUAAAUUGCAUUAUUCCAAGUAAUAUUAACUUCCCACUGAAAUAUAACAACGCAUCUACCCUGAAAUAUACAAAAAUAACAAAAAAACAUGUAAGAAA